rnacentral:misc_RNA from 1 species
GAUGAAGAACGUAGCGAAAUGCGAUAAGUAAUGUGAAUUGCAGAAUUCAGUGAAUCAUCGAAUCUUUGAACGCACAUUGCGCCCGCUGGUAUUCCGGCGGGCAUGCCUGUUCGAGCGUCAUUUCAACCCUCAAGCUCUCCGGAGUUUGGUGUUGGGGCGCCUGGGGCUUUUCGACCUCAGGGCCCUCAAGUCCAUCGGCGGGACCGCCAGGACACUGAGCUCAGUAGUAUUAUUUCGCUCGGUAGGAUCUUCCACGGCGGGUCGAUCUGGCCGCUAAACCCCCCAAUUCUCACCAAAGGUUGACCUCGGAUCAGGUAGGAAUACCCGCUGAACUUAAGCAUAUCAAUAAGCGGAGGA